UGGUAUUUGCGCCAAUGCAGACAGGAGCAGACGGGCUCAGACAGUGCUGGGGGCAGGAGAGUGACCGACCAUUUCUCCCCAGACACACGCGCCUCUCUCCCUCUGCAGCCUUGUCUGGGGGCGUUCUCAGAGGCGGGACCGCCGGGGACAGAUGAGGACUCCGGGAGUCCCCGAGUCUGUGCAGAGGUGGCUAGGUUACGGUGCAGGAAAAGAAAGCUCUACCAUGAAUUACUGCUGCCACUCUCAAGUCCACAGAAGGCAAUUGUGUUUUGGUUUAGAAAUGAUCCUCUUGCCCAGCCUCAGUGGCACAGGUGGUAGCUGAAACCGCAGUGCUGGAAGCCACAUAGCUGACUCCAGGGUUUGAUCCAUGGCCGACCUGAACAGUGAGCUGGGUGCCGUGCCUCAGGUCCUGACGAGAUGGAGCACUGGGAGAGAGGACUGCAGCAUGACAAGACUCUGUCAAGGGUGAUC